rnacentral:lncRNA from 1 species
AAAAAAUGAAACCUCAAAUAUAAGAUUUUGUACAGUAAAAAUUAUCACUGUACAAAACCUUAUAAUUCGAAGUUUUGAGGUUGCUUUCGGAGUAUAUAAACUUAAUAUUUGAGGUUUCAAGGUUGUUUUCGGAGAUGCUCUAAUAGGAUCAAAGAAGUCCAAUUAUCCUUCCAAAAACUACUUGUGAUCCCUGAACCAAUUUCAUGUUAUAAAAAAGAUGAGAAAAUUACCAAAGCUUACACAGAAUUUUCUCUAUCCAACUUCCCAUGAUUUGUGAAUUUAACUCCCAAAAGCUGGAAGAUCCAAUCCAAUAUCCAGUUACCCACCCAUAAGGAGCCUCCGGCUGCAAAAUAAGUCAAACCACUAUAGAAGAAAAUGAUAUAGACAUAGAAAAUUUGUGUAUAAGGUUAAUUUCCGU